rnacentral:rRNA from 1 species
CGCAAGUGUAUUCCUAUACUGUUGCGUUUAAAUAGCUCGUAGUUGGAUCUGCGUGUUUAGCGCGCGGUGCUGCUUCUUGCAGUUACUGUGACGCGACACUGUACGUCGACUUCAUGCUCAUGAGUAUGUAGAUGACAAGUUUACUUUGAACAAAUCAGAGUGCUCAAAACGGGCGUUUCGCUCGAAUGUUCUUGCAUGGAAUAAUAGAAUAGGACCUUGCGUUCUAUUUUGUUGGUUUUCGGGACGCGGGUAAUGAUUAAGAGGGACAGACGGGGGCAUUUGUACUGCGACGUGAGAGGUGAAAUUCUUGGAUCGUCGCAAGACAGACUACUGCGAAAGCAUUUGCCAAGAAUGUUUUCAUUAA